ACAUAUACAGGGUGGUCCUGAAAUUUUACAUAUAUGUAUAUAUGUAAAUAUAAAAAUAUAACUUUUAAUAAAAAGUGUAGUUGAAUGUUUAAUCUCUACAUGCGCGCGUUUAGAGGGGAACCUCUUUGGUCGCUCUUAUUUUAUCGUCAUUGUGUGUGUGUGUUUGUGCGCGCGCACGUGCGCGCGUGCGUGUGUGUGUAGAAUGAUUGUAAAGGGAAAUCUCAAAGAAAGCGUCUUCUUUGAUAUAGUAUAUAAGGUGUAAUUUUCUAUAUUCCCAAUACCAAUUUCAGAAAUCGUUUAAAAUACUUUUAUAUAUCAAAGUUUUAUUUAUAUGAUAAAGCAUAAAAGGAUAUACAUUCAGCUUUCCAAAUGAUUUUUGUACACUAAAAAACAAAGUGACAAAUGUUGUUUCUUAAUUUGCCAAAGAAAUUUUAUAUGAAGCAUUAUUGAUAAAUUUUCAAGCAAUAUUUGUCAUUAUUAUUAAUUGCACAAAGAAUAUAUUUAGAAAGCAUAAUAUAUCAGUAUCUCAGAGGUAGACAGUGUUAAGUCACAUUUUUUGCAAAAACAAAAUUUUUAUAUUUUAUGAAUGAGGUUGUUAAGGAAA